GAUCCUGGCUCAGGACGAACGCUGGCGGCGUGCCUAAUACAUGCAAGUCGAACGCUUCUUUUUUCCACCGGAGCUUGCUCCACCGGAAAAAGAGGAGUGGCGAACGGGUGAGUAACACGUGGGUAACCUGCCCAUCAGAAGGGGAUAACACUUGGAAACAGGUGCUAAUACCGUAUAACAAUCGAAACCGCAUGGUUUUGAUUUGAAAGGCGCUUUCGGGUGUCGCUGAUGGAUGGACCCGCGGUGCAUUAGCUAGUUGG
rnacentral:rRNA from 1 species